AGAAAGGUUUGACGGACGCGGAAGGGACAAGUGCACGCCACCGAAGCCCGAGCCAAGUAACAGUGAGGAACGGCGGCAGAGCCAGGAGAUAUCGAACGAGUUACCGGCCGACGCAGUGUAAAGGAAGCCUCGCCCUAAGCCGUUUUCAUCUUCCGCGAUGAGUAACACAGACGUGGCCGUGCUGAUCCAUUUGCUUCUCGGCAUGUCUGACGAAGACUUGCGCUCCCUGCAUGGAAGCAGUAUAUGGUGGCUACCGAAUCUUGCCACUGCUUCGAAGAUGGAUGUUAUCAACGCCAUCCACAGUUCACUGCAAAUGUUUUGCCACCUGGACAGGCGUGCCUUCUGCGUCGCCCAGCUUUAUUGCUGCCUCGCAGAGCGGGAACUUAUCCGCUGUUGGCAUUGGUAUUCCCUGCGCCCCUGCGCCGCACUGCUGACCGCUGAUUUCAAACUGCAUGAGCGCCUGGUGUGCGCCUUGGAUUACCCCGGAGGCCACACUGUCCACGCAAAGACUGAGCGCGACGAAGCCAUCUACGCUUGCAUUAUGACCACGAAUCCGAGACGCGCUACAAGGGAGCACGAGAUCAUCUGCUUGUGCAUGCCGCGUUCGCUGCCCUACCUCUUCGCCAGUGUACCGCCAAAUAACGAGAGGCGCUUCAAUGUCGCUCUCGAGUCCGUAUUGCAAAUUAGUGUCGACAAGAUCUAUGCCGGUUAUAGUAUCCAGCUGCGUGAUGUAUUUGCCAGCGCCCGAGCGGCUUGUGUGGCGCCGGCACCGGCACAAACCGACGUCGAAAAGCACCCGGAAAGUGGUGUCUGACCUCCAAGUGCUCCGAUAGAUGCGAGCUGACAGUUGCCAACGAACACGCAGCAUGGCACGUGCAACACAUGACGAUAAACGAAAUGGAUUUCCUUGUGCAAAGACUGCGACGAGAUCUUGCACCACAACUGGACAUGUGCAAUCCUAUACGACAAGUGCACAAGAUCUGCUAGGCAUUUCCCAUAUGCUGAAGGCGACGUUAGAGAAAGCGCCUGUGGUGCAGGUCGAGGAGGCGUUGUUACACAGACAAAAUGGCGCUCCAGUCGAAGUGAAUGCACCGUUCUGUAGUUUCAGGUGGAAAAAUGACCUUUACCAACAUGCCGUCCAGCCAGUUAACAUGAGCCCUCCAAUGUUUGUCAUGACUUCUCAGUGUGCGUGUUGUACCCAUGACGUGGUUGUAACAUUUAACGACCAAGAACUUGUUAAGUUGUUUAUUUUAUUAGAACUUUAGCUCAUUACUUGCUGCUCACGUCGACGAUCCCAAGCGCGUUAGCGCUAGUGACCCUGGAAGAAAAGUCAGGUCUCUUACUUAGAUUAGCCUUCAUCGUUUCACUCAAUUAUUGAUUGGAGCAACUGGAAACAAUUUCUUGCAACUUCCACGUAGAUGGGCGGGUUAACAUAGCAACAUUUCCGACAACGUGUUAGCUAAACAUUUCAUAAAAAGAUAGAUGUUGUUGGUCACGCGCCGCCGGAAGCAUAUUUCCCUUUUAAAACAGCACCAGUAUAUCAUCAAUGCAAACUUCUAUUCCACGUGGUCAUUUCAGGGCUUAUCUUUGUAGAGCAAAUCUCUGCUCUGCGAGAAUUCAAUAAAGCAUUUGUAAUCUACGCUGCUAUGAAUACUACCCAAACUGUGAUUUUAUUUCGGAUUUUUUGCUGCAAGUAAGCUGCUCUUUUAUGUUUCCGUGUACAACUUGUUUGUGUAAUAAAUUUAAGAUUUUUUUUAUUUUGAA